GGAAGACUAUAAGCCCCAGCGGGCGACGACCGAACGCCCCCGGGAACACCGGGCCCCGAGCUCGGUCCCGCGCCCGAGGAUCCUCCACGGGGCUAGAUGGCUGCGUCGGGGGCGGGAGCGGAGGUGAGCGGGCGCUAGGGCCGCGAGCCCCCGCCGGCCCUUCCUCCAGCGCCCUGCGGACCCCGCAGAAGGCGCUCGCCUCCCUAGCCCGCAAAAACAUAUCGAUUUUUCUCGCUGUGGCAACGGGGACGUCCUGAUAGAUCCUCUGCUCCAAUAGGCAACUCCGGCCUUCCCUGCCCUGACCUGGAACCUCUGGGAGGGCUGCAGAGUAAGUGCCGCCUCUGCGCUCCGACGGAGGCACGAGGCCUGUGGAGUAGGUCCCUCUGUUCCGACAGGUGCGACACUUGGCGCUCCAUGCUUGCGGGUGCCGGGAGGCCUGGCCUCCCCCAGGGCCGCCACCUCUGCUGGUUGCUCUGUGCUUUCACCUUAAAGCUCUGUAUCUUCCCCAUAUACCAAGAGCACAGGUGGAAAAGGCCGGCACCACAUGGAAUGAGGGCAAGCGCUGUGCCGGGAAGUUGGAUGGGCAGAGCCUGGGAGAAAUGUUUUCUGAAUGGCCUGGGGCUGGCAUUUAUCUUUCCUUUCAGCAAGCACCUCAAAUUUGCCAUGCUGGCUGGUGGAAGAGUUUGUGGUAGCAGAAGAGUGCUCUCCAUGCUCUAAUUUCCGGGCUAAAACUACCCCUGAGUGUGGUCCCACAGGAUAUGUAGAGAAAAUCACAUGCAGCUCAUCUAAGAGAAAUGAGUUCAAAAGCUGCCGCUCAGCUUUGAUGGAACAACGCUUAUUUUGGAAGUUCGAAGGGGCUGUCGUGUGUGUGGCCCUGAUCUUCGCUUGUCUUGUCAUCAUUCGUCAGCGACAAUUGGACAGAAAGGCUCUGGAAAAGGUCCGGAAGCAAAUCGAGUCCAUAUAGCUACAUUCCACCCUUGUAUCCUGGGUCUUAGAGACCCUAUCUCAGACAGUGAAAGUGAAAUGGACUGAUUUGCACUCUUGGUUCUUUGGAGCCUUGUGGUGGAAUCCCCUUUUCCCCAUCUUCUUCUUUCAGAUCAUUAAUGAGCAGAAUAAAAAGAGUAAA
rnacentral:lncRNA from 1 species